GUUGACCUCGGAUCAGGUAGGAAUACCCGCUGAACUUAAGCAUAUCAAUAAGCGGAGGAAAAGAAACCAACAGGGAUUGCCUCAGUAACGGCGAGUGAAGCGGCAACAGCUCAAAUUUGAAAUCUGGCCCUAGGCCCGAGUUGUAAUUUGCAGAGGAUGCUUUUGGCGAGGUGCCUUCCGAGUUCCCUGGAACGGGACGCCAUAGAGGGUGAGAGCCCCGUCUGGUCGGACACCGAGCCUCUGUAAAGCUCCUUCGACGAGUCGAGUAGUUUGGGAAUGCUGCUCUAAAUGGGAGGUAUAUGUCUUCUAAAGCUAAAUACCGGCCAGAGACCGAUAGCGCACAAGUAGAGUGAUCGAAAGAUGAAAAGCACUUUGAAAAGAGAGUUAAAUAGCACGUGAAAUUGUUGAAAGGGAAGCGUUUAUGACCAGACUUGGCCCGGUUGAUCAUCCAGCGUUCUCGCUGGUGCACUCUGCCGGUCCAGGCCAGCAUCAGUUCGUCGCGGGGGAUAAAGGUUUCGGGAAUGUGGCUCCUUCGGGAGUGUUAUAGCCCGUUGCGUAAUACCCUGCGGUGGACUGAGGUCCGCGCUUCUGCAAGGAUGCUGGCGUAAUGGUCAUCAACGAC
rnacentral:rRNA from 1 species